AUUCACAGCACUGCACAAGGACCCUGGGCACCUGAGGACUGUAAAUUGUACAGAAAAGAGGCACUCAGAACUCAUCCUUUAAAGGCUCUGCUAGAUUUGCAGGUGUGGGUUAAAACGAAAUGGCAGAUGCUUUACCAAGUAUCCAUUCCAUGUUACCCACCUACAGUUAAUCCUCACACCUCUGCUGUUUUCAUUCAAACACUGGGUUUAUUUCAGAUGGUAGUUAACGUAUAACAUAUCAACUGAAUGAAGAAGAAAGAAGGCAAACUGCCCCCAAGAUGCUCUCAAGCCCAGCCGUGUUGGCUUUGUUGACUAAGGACCACCAAGUAGUGCAGCCAUCAUCCCUUACUAUGUAGCAUCAGCUCCACAGUGGUGUGUGCUCACAGUUCAUCUGGGAUAUAUUUCUUAAGGACUUAAUUGUUUUGAAUAUUUAGUGAUAAUGAUUUAAGAACUAUUAGCUACCUCAGCUGUUUAUGAACAACAGUACUUCUUUUAAAGCUUGAAACUGGCUUGAUUUGCUCAUUUCUUAAACAUACCAAUCACAGUGAUGUCCAAUUCCAAUCAUACAUGAAACUCUAUAUUAAUUUGUAAUACUAAGGAUCUGAGUCUUUGUACUUGUUGAUUUCAUUAUAAUUUUUUAUGAGUUAGCCAGUUAAUGGUUGGUAAUCUUUACAAGGAAUAAAAAAAUUAGGUUGCUGGUUU